GAUGAACGCUAGCUACAGGCUUAACACAUGCAAGUCGAGGGGCAGCAUGGUCGAAGCUUGCUUCGACUGAUGGCGACCGGCGCACGGGUGCGUAACGCGUAUCGAACCUGCCCUAUACACGGGGAUAGCCUUGCGAAAGUAAGAUUAAUACCCGAUGGCUUCCUUUUGCCUCCUGACAAAGGGAAUAAAGAAUUUCGGUAUGGGAUGGCGAUGCGUCCGAUUAGCUAGUUGGCGGGGUAACGGCCCACCAAGGCGACGAUCGGUAGGGGUUCUGAGAGGAAGGUCCCCCCACAUUGGAACUGAGACACGGUCCAAACUCCUACGGGAGGCAGCAGUGAGGAAUAUUGGUCAAUGGGCGAGAGCCUGAACCAGCCAAGUAGCGUGCAGGAUGACGGCCCUAUGGGUUGUAAACUGCUUUUAUAAGGGAAUAAAGUUAGUCUCGUGAGACUUUUUGCAUGUACCUUAUGAAUAAGGACCGGCUAAUUCCGUG
rnacentral:rRNA from 1 species